rnacentral:tRNA from 1 species
GGGUCGAUAGCUCAGUCGGUAGAGCAACAGCCUUUUAAGCUGAUGGUCCCGAGUUCGAAUCUCGGUCGACCCACCA